rnacentral:rRNA from 1 species
AACGAACGCUGGCGGCAGGCUUAACACAUGCAAGUCGAACGCUCCGCAAGGAGAGUGGCAGACGGGUGAGUAACGCGUGGGAAUCUACCUAGUUCUACGGAACAACACAGGGAAACUUGUGCUAAUACCGUAUACGCCCUACGGGGGAAAGAUUUAUCGGAAUUAGAUGAGCCCGCGUAAGAUUAGCUAGUUGGUGGGGU